CCUACGGGAGGCAGCAGUGAGGAAUAUUGGUCAAUGGACGCAAGUCUGAACCAGCCAUGCCGCGUGAAGGAAGAAGGCUCUCGGGGUGUAAACUCCCUUUGUCAGGGACGAAGCAAGUGACGGUACCUGACGAAUAAGCCACGGCGAACUACGUGCCAGCAGCCGCGCUAAUCCGUAGGUGUUAAGCGUUAGCCGGAUUUACUGGGUGUAAAGGGCGUGUAGGCGGGACUGCAAGUCAGAUGUGAAAACCACGGGGUCAACCUGUGGCCUGCAUUUGAAACUGUAGUUCUUGAGUACUGGAGAGGCAGACGGAAUUCGUGGUGUAGCGGUGAAAUGCGUAGAUAUUAGGAGGAACACCAGUGGCGAAGGCGGUCUGCUGGACAGCAACUGACGCUGAGGCGCGAAAGCGUGGGGAGCAAACAGGAUUAGAUACCCGAGUAGUC
rnacentral:rRNA from 1 species